AGAGUUUGAUCCUGGCUCAGAUUGAACGCUAGCGGGAUGCUUUACACAUGCAGGUCGAACGGCAGCACGAGAGAGCUUGCUCUCUUGGUGGCGAGUGGCGGACGGGUGAGUAAUAUAUCGGAACGUGCCCAGUAGCGGGGGAUAACUACUCGAAAGAGUGGCUAAUACCGCAUACGCCCUACGGGGGAAAGGGGGGGAUCGCAAGACCUCUCACUAUUGGAGCGGCCGAUAUCGGAUUAGCUAGUUGGUGGGGUAAAGGCUCACCAAGGCAACGAUCCGUAGCUGGUUUGAGAGGACGACCAGCCACACUGGGACUGAGACACGGCCCAGACUCCUACGGGAGGCAGCAGUGGGGAAUUUUGGACAAUGGGGGAAACCCUGAUCCAGCCAUCCCGCGUGUAUGAUGAAGGCCUUCGGGUUGUAAAGUACUUUUGGCAGAGAAGAAAAGGCAUCCCCUAAUACGGGAUGCUGCUGACGGUAUCUGCAGAAUAAGCACCGGCUAACUACGUGCCAGCAGCCGCGGUAAUACGUAGGGUGCAAGCGUUAAUCGGAAUUACUGGGCGUAAAGCGUGUGUAGGCGGUUCGGAAAGAAAGAUGUGAAAUCCCAGGGCUCAACCUUGGAACUGCAUUUUUAACUGCCGAGCUAGAGUAUGUCAGAGGGGGGUAGAAUUCCACGUGUAGCAGUGAAAUGCGUAGAUAUGUGGAGGAAUACCGAUGGCGAAGGCAGCCCCCUGGGAUAAUACUGACGCUCAGACACGAAAGCGUGGGGAGCAGACAGGAUUAGAUACCCUGGUAGUCCACGCCCUAAACGAUGUCAACUAGCUGUUGGGGCCGUUAGGCCUUAGUAGCGCAGCUAACGCGUGAAGUUGACCGCCUGGGGAGUACGGUCGCAAGAUUAAGACUCAAAGGAAUUGACGGGGACCCGCACAAGCGGUGGAUGAUGUGGAUUAAUUCGAUGCAACGCGAAAAACCUUACCUACCCUUGACAUGUCUGGAAUGCCGAAGAGAUUUGGCAGUGCUCGCAAGAGAACCGGAACACAGGUGCUGCAUGGCUGUCGUCAGCUCGUGUCGUGAGAUGUUGGGUUAAGUCCCGCGACGAGCGCAACCCUUGUCAUUAGUUGCUACGCAAGAGCACUCUAAUGAGACUGCCGGUGACAAACCGGAGGAAGGUGGGGAUGACGUCAAGUCCUCAUGGCCCUUAUGGGUAGGGCUUCACACGUCAUACAAUGGUCGGGACAGAGGGUCGCCAACCCGCGAGGGGGAGCCAAUCUCAGAAACCCGAUCGUAGUCCGGAUCGCAGUCUGCAACUCGACUGCGUGAAGUCGGAAUCGCUAGUAAUCGCGGAUCAGAAUGUCGCGGUGAAUACGUUCCCGGGUCUUGUACUCACCGCCCGUCAA
rnacentral:rRNA from 1 species